rnacentral:rRNA from 1 species
UACUCCUACGGAGGCAGCAGUGGGGAAUUUUGGACAAUGGACGCAAGUCUGAUCCAGCAAUGCCGCGUGCAGGACGAAGGCCUUCGGGUUGUAAACUGCUUUUGUACAGAACGAAAAGGCUCUGGUUAAUACCUGGGGCUCAUGACGGUACUGUAAGAAUAAGCACCGGCUAACUACGUGCCAGCAGCCGCGGUAAUA